UAGCUUGUCUGGCACAGAAUAGCCUGCCACCAUAAAGAUGAAAACACGAGAGAGGAGAUCUGCUUCUACCUGGACAAUUUGGCUUACAGUCUGAAUCUAACUUCAGAGAUUUUAAUCAUGGUCACAAAUCAGGUAACAAGAGAAUCUCCCUCUGUAUUUGCAUUUGUUUGUUGUAUUUUAUAUGGAAUAUGUUUUGAGGCAGAUGUUUGGCAGUGGCCUUUUAGGGGAG
rnacentral:lncRNA from 1 species